rnacentral:tRNA from 1 species
AGUCGCGUGGUCUAAUGGUUAUGAUUUCUCGUUCACAUUCGUCAAUUCUUUCAUUUGAUGAGGUUCCGAGAAGGUUCCCGGUUCGAUCCCGGGCGCGACUU